rnacentral:rRNA from 1 species
GCCUUAGGUGGGGUCUUCAUGGCCCGACCUCCACCCUCUGUUGUUAAAACUACCUUGUUGCUUUGGCGGGACCGUCUCGGUCUCCGAGCGCACUAACCCUCGGGUUGGUGAGCGCCCGCCAGAGUCCAACCAAACUCUUGUAUUAAACCAGUCGUCUGAGUAUAAAAUUUUAAUUAAAUUAAAACUUUCAACAACGGAUCUCUUGGUUCUCGCAUCGAUGAAGAACGCAGCGAAAUGCGAUAAGUAAUGUGAAUUGCAGAAUUCAGUGAAUCAUCGAAUCUUUGAACGCACAUUGCGCCCCUUGGUAUUCCGAGGGGCAUGCCUGUUCGAGCGUCAUUACACCACUCAAGCAUCGCUUGGUAUUGGGAACGGUCCGUCGCAAGGCGGGCCUUCCUCGAAGACCUCGGCGGGGUUCAACCAACUUCGGGCGUAGUAGAGUUAAAUCGAACGUCUUAUAAGCUUGGUCGGAUCUCAUUGCCGUUAAACCUUUAAAUUUUCUAGGUUGACCUCGGAUCAGGUAGGGAUACCCGCUGAACUUAAGCAUAUCAAUAAGCGGAGGAAAAG